GACGGAAGGUGCAAGCGUUGCUCGGAAUCACUUGGGCGUAAAGGGCGCGUAGGCGGCCACGACAAGUCACUUGUGAAAUCUCCGGGCUUAACUCGGAACGGUCAAGUGAUACUGUCGGGCUAGAGUACAGAAGGGGCAACUGGAAUUCUCGGUGUAGCGGUGAAAUGCGUAGAUAUCGAGAGGAACACCUGCGGCGAAGGCGGGUUGCUGGGCUGAUACUGACGCUGAGGCGCGAAAGCUAGGGGAGCGAACAGG
rnacentral:rRNA from 1 species